rnacentral:rRNA from 1 species
AGCUCUCGAAGUGUAUAUCAUUGUUGUUGCGGUUAAAAAGCUCGUAGUUGGAUCUGCGCCUUAGAGUUCGGUCCUCCCAAUGGGAGUGUACUGAUACUCGGGGCUAACUAGCUGGUUUUCUCCUGGUGCUCUUCAUUGAGUGCCUUGAGUGACUAGCAGGUUUACUUUGAAAAAAUUAGAGUGCUCAAAACAGGCGUUAGCCUGAAUACUGGUGCAUGGAAUAAUGGAAUAGGACCUUGGUUCUAUUU